GACGAACGCUGGCGGCGUGCUUAACACAUGCAAGUCGAACGGAAAGGCCCUGCUUUUGUGGGGUGCUCGAGUGGCGAACGGGUGAGUAACACGUGAGUAACCUGCCCUUGACUUUGGGAUAACUUCAGGAAACUGGGGCUAAUAUCGGAUAUGAGCUCCUGCUGCAUGGUGGGGGUGGGAAAGUUUCGGCGGUUGGGGAUGGACUCGCGGCUUAUCAGCUUGUUGGUGGGGUAGUGGCUUACCAAGGCUUUGACGGGUAGCCGGCCUGAGAGGGUGACCGGCCACAUUGGGACUGAGAUACGGCCCAGACUCCUACGGGAGGCAGCAGUGGGGAAUAUUGCACAAUGGGCGGAAGCCUGAUGCAGCAACGCCGCGUGCGGGAUGACGGCCUUCGGGUUGUAACCCGCUUUCGCCUGUGACGAAGCGUGAGUGACGGUAAUGGGUAAAGAAGCACCGGCUAACUACGUG
rnacentral:rRNA from 1 species